CUUUCUUUUUCUUUUCUUUCAAGAUGGGAUCUUGCUAUGCUGCCCAGACUGGACUCUAAUUCCUUGGCUCAAGGCAUUCUCUAGCCUCAGCCUCCUGAGCAGCUGGGACCAAAAGCAUAUGCCACAGUACCUGGCCUCCAUCCUUCCUUUCUGUUACUGCCUGUGUUCCAGACUCCCCACAGCUCUCUCGGAUCCUUGGAACACCUUCUUAAGUUCAUAACCUGUCUCCAGACCUGUUACCUUUCAAAUACAUCUGCUUGGAGCUUCAGCCUGGAAGCUAAAAACCUUGCUACUCCAAAAUGUGGUCCUCAGAUCAGCAACUUUAACAUCAUUUCGAAGCCUCUUAAAAAUGCACUCUCAUACCUACCGAAUCAGAUGUUUCAUUGUGACAAGAUCCCCAGGUGAUUCAUGUGCAGGUUAAAGUUUGAGAAGCACCAAAGUAAAACAUGAA
rnacentral:lncRNA from 1 species